AGAUCGCUGCAAAUGGAGGUCCCACAGAGAUCAGGAAAGAAGGACAAAUGCUGAAGGAUCACACUCGAAUGCUGGCCAGCAAGUAAGGCAUCAGGUGUGAGCUCGCUUCAGAAACUGGGACUUCCACAUCAAAACGGAAGACACAGAAUCCAGGAGCUUGUCCCUAGAGUACCGUCUGAACUCUGGACGAACUAGAAGCCAAAUCUACCGGCAGGACUUGGAGAGGGUCAAGGAUAACUAAGAAAGAGUGACAGAAACAUUGGUAGAGCCUAAGGUUGGAGAAAACCAAGGUGAGACAUUCUCCUACACAUCAUGGGAUCUCUACACUCAUGAA